rnacentral:rRNA from 1 species
UGAGGAAUAUUGGUCAAUGGGCGAGAGCCUGAACCAGCCAAGUAGCGUGCAGGAUGACGGCCCUAUGGGUUGUAAACUGCUUUUAUAUGGGAAUAAAGUGGGGAACGUGUUCCCUUUUGCAGGUGCCGCAUGAAUAAGGACCGGCUAAUUCCGUGCCAGCAGCCGCGGUAAUACGGAAGGUCCGGGCGUUAUCCGGAUUUAUUGGGUUUAAAGGGAGCGUAGGCCGCGUUUUAAGCGUGUUGUGAAAUGUAGACGCCCAACGUCUGCAUCGCAGCGCGAACUGGGACGCUUGAGUACGCGCAACGUUGGCGGAAUUCGUCGUGUAGCGAUGAAAUGCUUAGAUAUGACGAGGAACUCCGAUUGCGAAGGCAGCUGACGGGAGCGGCACUGACGCUUAAGCUCGAAGGUGCGGGUAUCAAACAGG